rfam:Strongyloides ratti strain ED321 Heterogonic genome assembly, chromosome: 2
UAAACGGUUCUCUUUAGAACUAUUCAUUAUUUAUAAAACUUUCUUU